GAUGAACGCUGGCGGCGUGCCUAAUACAUGCAAGUCGAGCGAACGGACGAGAAGCUUGCUUCUCUGAUGUUAGCGGCGGACGGGUGAGUAACACGUGGAUAACCUACCUAUAAGACUGGGAUAACUUCGGGAAACCGGAGCUAAUACCGGAUAAUAUUUUGAACCGCAUGGUUCAAAAGUGAAAGACGGUCUUGCUGUCACUUAUAGAUGGAUCCGCGCUGCAUUAGCUAGUUGGUAAGGUAACGGCUUACCAGGGCAACGAUGCAUAGCCGACCUGAGAGGGUGAUCGGCCACACUGGAACUGAGACACGGUCCAGACUCCUGCGGGAGGCAGCAGUAGGGAAUCUUCCGCAAUGGGCGAAAGCCUGACGGAGCAACGCCGCGUGAGUGAUGAAGGUCUUCGGAUCGUAAAACUCUGUUAUUAGGGAAGAACAUAUGUGUAAGUAACUGUGCACAUCUUGACGGUACCUAAUCAGAAAGCCACGGCUAACUACGUG
rnacentral:rRNA from 1 species